GAUGAACGCUAGCGGCAGGCCUAAUACAUGCAAGUCGAACGGGAUUGCGGUAGUAGCUUGCUACUACUGCAUGAGAGUGGCGCACGGGUGCGUAACGCGUGAGCAACCUACCCAUAUCAGGGGGAUAGCCCGGCGAAAGUCGGAUUAACACCGCAUAACAUCAACAGUUCGCAUGUUCAGUUGAUUAAAUAUUUAUAGGAUAUGGAUGGGCUCGCGUGACAUUAGCUAGUUGGUAGGGUAACGGCUUACCAAGGCAACGAUGUCUAGGGGCUCUGAGAGGAGAAUCCCCCACACUGGUACUGAGACACGGACCAGACUCCUACGGGAGGCAGCAGUAAGGAAUAUUGGUCAAUGGGCGCAAGCCUGAACCAGCCAUGCCGCGUGCAGGAGGACUGCCCUAUGGGUUGUAAACUGCUUUUAUCAGGGAAUAAACCCCUUUACGAGUAGAGGGUUGAAUGUGCCUGAAGAAUAAGGAUCGGCUAACUCCGUG
rnacentral:rRNA from 1 species